UACGUAGGGCGCAAGCGUUGUCCGGAAUUAUUGGGCGUAAAGGGCUCGUAGGCGGUUCGUCACGUCGGGAGUGAAAACUCGGAGCUUAACUCCGAGCCUGCUUCCGAUACGGGCAGACUAGAGGUAGGCAGGGGAGAGCGGAACUCCUGGUGUAGCGGUGGAAUGCGCAGAUAUCAGGAAGAACACCGGUGGCGAAGGCGGCUCUCUGGGCCUUACCUGACGCUGAUACGCGAAAGCGUGGGGAGCAAACAGG
rnacentral:rRNA from 1 species